rnacentral:rRNA from 1 species
GACGAACGCUGGCGGCGUGCUUAACACAUGCAAGUCGAACGGAAAGGCCCUGCUUUUGUGGGGUGCUCGAGUGGCGAACGGGUGAGUAACACGUGAGUAACCUGCCCUUGACUUUGGGAUAACUUCAGGAAACUGGGGCUAAUACCGGAUAGGAGCUCCUGCUGCAUGGUGGGGGUUGGAAAGUUUCGGCGGUUGGGGAUGGACUCGCGGCUUAUCAGCUUGUUGGUGGGGUAGUGGCUUACCAAGGCUUUGACGGGUAGCCGGCCUGAGAGGGUGACCGGCCACAUUGGGACUGAGCUACGGCCCGGACUCCUACGGGAGGCAGCAGUGGGGAAUAUUGCACAAUGGGCGGAAGCCUAAUGCAGCAACGCCGCGUGCGGGAUGACGGCCUUCGGGUUGUAAACCGCUUUCGCCUGUGACGAAGCGUGAGUGACGGUAAUGGGUAAAGAAGCACCGGCUAACUACGUG